CNNCCUGCCCACCACUUGGGGAUAACCUUGCGAAAGUAAGACUAAUACCCAAUGACGUCUCUANNNNACAUCUGAAAGAGAUUAAAGAUUUAUCGGUGAUGGAUGGGGAUGCGUCUGAUUAGCUUGUUGGCGGGGUAACGGCCCACCAAGGCGACGAUCAGUAGGGGUUCUGAGAGGAAGGUCCCCCACAUUGGAACUGAGACACGGUCCAAACUCCUACGGGAGGCAGCAGUGAGGAAUAUUGGUCAAUGGACGAGAGUCUGAACCAGCCAAGUAGCGUGCAGGACGACGGCCCUAUGGGUUGUAAACUGCUUUUAUAAGGGAAUAAAGUGAGCCUCGUGAGGCUUUUUGCAUGUACCUUAUGAAUAAGGACCGGCUAAUUCCGUGCCAGCAGCCGCGGUAAUACGGAAGGUCCGGGCGUUAUCCGGAUUUAUUGGGUUUAAAGGGAGCGUAGGCCGGAGAUUAAGCGUGUUGUGAAAUGUAGACGCUCAACGUCUGCACUGCAGCGCGAACUGGUUUCCUUGAGUACGCACAAAGUGGGCGGAAUUCGUGGUGUAGCGGUGAAAUGCUUAGAUAUCACGAAGAACUCCGAUUG
rnacentral:rRNA from 1 species